CAAAAUUCAAAAUUUAUUACAAUUAAAUCAUAAUUAAAAAAAUCUUAUAAAAUAAAUGUCAUAAUUAAAUUGCAGUAAAAAUAUAACUUUAUUUAUUUUGUCGCAUUUGAACGUCUUUAAUCUAUACAUGCCUCAAAAAAGUUAAACGACUCUUAGCAAGCAUAGAUGAUAAAUUCAAUUGCUUAGGGAUAAAAUAAAAUGUAAGAGCUAGAUGCUGGAAAAUAAUAUGUUCCAUCCAGCUUAUGGAGAAAAGAAUUACUAGCAGAAAAUAACACAAGUUUAUUUCCUCGAUCGAAUUUAAACAAUUUCUUGACCCUAAUUAAGAUUUACAAAAGUGGGAGAUCUAAUCAGUCAUUACAAAAAGGAUCUCUAUAUCUCAAACAUGAAGAAGAAGAAGAAGAAAAAUUGAGAGGGUGUGAAAAUCAAUUGAUCUCAAGAACUUCAGGAGCUUCCACAAUGCUCUCUAAAGAAGGUUUCCACCCCUCAGCUUUUUGUCUACCUUUCUCUAUCUCUUCAAGAACUUGUUCCACUUUCAUCCCUCCUUUCUCAUUCAAUCGAAAUAAUAGCCAUUUAAGCUCCUCUUUUGUUAGCACAAUUUUCAUGCUUACACCAUUUUUAUUAUCAUUCAUCUCUUCUUUUUGUUGAUGGAUCAUCUCCAUUGGCCUCAUCGUGUAUGUCUCCAUGCAAUUUCCCAUAACUGUGUUUAUGUGACCCUUAACCCUAAUGAAGAAUCAAGAAUAGAGAGAGAAGAGGUAUCUAUUUAUAUUCAUAAAGUUCAAUACUAUAGUCUAUAAAUGCAUGUGGUUAGUAGAUUCUGAAUGAUAGGUUCAUGGAAAUACUUGUAUAAAUAUUAUUAUUUUUUGCUUAAUGAAUGACGCAAAUUGAUUUAUUGUAUAUUAAAUAAUGAAUGAUUGAUACUGUACCAUUUGUCCUUGUUUCAUUUUAUUUUAGUAUUAAAAGCAUAGUGUUGUUUGAAAAUUUUGAUAAA
rnacentral:lncRNA from 1 species